rnacentral:rRNA from 1 species
AGCAGUAGCCGCGGGAAUACGUAGGUGGCAAGCGUUGUCCGGAAUCAUUGGGCGUAAAGGGAGCGCAGGCGGGCAUGUAAGUCUUUCUUAAAAGUUCGGGGCUCAACCCCGUGAUGGGAAAGAAACUACAUGUCUUGAGUACAGGAGAGGAAAGCGGAAUUCCCAGUGUAGCGGUGAAAUGCGUAGAUAUUGGGAGGAACACCAGUGGCGAAGGCGGCUUUCUGGACUGCAACUGACGCUGAGGCUCGAAAGCCAGGGGAGCGAACGGGAUUAGAUACCCGGGUAGUCCCUGUCUCUAAUACC